rnacentral:rRNA from 1 species
UACGUAGGGUGCAAGCGUUAAUCGGAAUUACUGGGCGUAAAGAGCGUGUAGGCGGCCAGGUAGGUCCGCUGUGAAAACUCGAGGCUCAACCUCGAGAUGUCGGCGGAAACCAUCUGGCUAGAGUCCGGAAGAGGAGAGUGGAAUUCCUGGUGUAGCGGUGAAAUGCGCAGAUAUCAGGAAGAACACCCGUGGCGAAGGCGGCUCUCUGGGACGGUACUGACGCUGAGACGCGAAAGCGUGGGGAGCGAACAGG